UACGAAGGGGGCUAGCGUUGCUCGGAAUCACUGGGCGUAAAGGGUGCGUAGGCGGGUCUUUAAGUCAGGGGUGAAAUCCUGGAGCUCAACUCCAGAACUGCCUUUGAUACUGAAGAUCUUGAGUUCGGGAGAGUUGAGUGGAACUGCGAGUGUAGAGGUGAAAUUCGUAGAUAUUCGCAAGAACACCAGUGGCGAAGGCGGCUCACUGGCCCGAUACUGACGCUGAGGCACGAAAGCGUGGGGAGCAAACAGG
rnacentral:rRNA from 1 species